UGGAGGACAGAUCUAUGAAAUGUCACUUACCUCACUAUUCAAAACAAAAGAACCUGGAGGACAGAUCUAUGAAAUGUCACUUACUUCACUAUCACUUCCACGAAGAGAAUAUAAUAUAUGACUUUUGUUUUAAAAGUUUGGUCAUUUGAUAGUUUUUCAACUAAGUUGCUACCUCGUAACACCAAUAUGCUUUAUCACUCCGGAGGCACUGGUAGACCAUCCUUCUCUUCCGGUCCUCUGUUCCAUUAGAUCUUACUGCAAUGUCAGAAGGAAUAUAACACCACCAAAUUCAUUGUCGAUUCCAUCUUAAUGUCAUGUACAAUUGCAAAUAGAUUAGCAAACACUGCUUAAAGUCAAAGAAAAUUAACGAGAAUUAGGACUUUACUCACCAAAAAAUUCACUCAAAAUUUUCGAGAAAUUUUAAUCUUAUUUCCUAACCUAUAAGAUAUACGUAGUGAAUAACUGCUCCUUAAUCACACGUAACCACACAAAUCCAUCGCCAUAGGUCGACAGACAGUAUAAGAAAUGAAGUCAUGCAAAUCAGCAGAUGGGAAAC
rnacentral:lncRNA from 1 species